rnacentral:rRNA from 1 species
AUGGCUGGAGUGGUGCGCCUAUGGAACGAUUGGGAGGUCCAAAUCCUAGUGCUUGUUAGCUUCAUGCUGCAAGUGUUCCUGCUCAUGUUCGCCAGGAUGCGGCGGCGGAACAUCUCCAUCGUCCCAAGGACCCUCCUCUGGCUAGCAUACCUACUGGCUGACUCCAUAGCGAUAUACAUCCUCGGCCACAUGUCUUUCUAUGGCAAGUCUCACGGGCACCAACAGCUCAUGGCUUUCUGGGCGCCAUUCUUGCUAGUGCAUCUCGGUGGCCAGGACAACAUCACCGCCUACUCCAUGGAAGACAGCAAGCUCUGGCCGCGCCACCUGCUCUCUUUUGUCGUGCAGACAGUGGGAGUGGCUUAUGUCCUCUACAAGUAUGUUGCUGGCAGCUGGACCUUGGUCACAGCCUCAGCAUUGAUAUUUGUCAGCGGUAUUCUCAAGUAUGGGGAGAGAGUAUGGGCGCUCAAGUUGUCCAGCCUGGAGAACAUGAGUAAGUUCCUUGACGGCGAGAAGUUGAGUGAGGCUAAAAGAGAUCGGCAUGCACUGGUUGGCGAAUGGAACAUAUCUGUGCAGUGGGGCCGGGGGGAGAACUUGGAGCCUGAAGAGGUUCUGCAGGGAGCUCAUGACCUGCUUCCCAUUUGCAUGGCUCAGUUUGUGGACUAUAAGUUCUGGCCAUCUGCAUCCCAGAGUAAAGCCAUAAAGCUAUUCGAUAACAAGGGCCAAAUGUUUGAGUUGGUUGAGAUGCAGCUCUCCUUGAUGUAUGAUUUCCUAUAUACCAAGGCAGCGGUGGUCUUCACAUGGUAUGGAUGCCUCAUCCGUGCCAUUUCAGCAGUUGCCAGCAUCACCACUUUCUUCUUAUUUCAAGCAAGCGUUCGCAAAAAUGACUUCAACAGAGUUGAUGCCAUUGUCACAUACAUCUUGAUAGCUGGGGCUGUCCUCCUAGAGAUGGCAACAUUGUUGAAGGCAAUGGGAUCAACAUGGACAUGUGCAUUGUUGCAUGCUAGAAGAUGGCAUCGGCUUCACAGCAUAGUCAUAGCUGUUCGGCGGCAUGUCAGGGCUGCGGAAAGAAAUAGAAGAUGGUCAGGUUCCAUUGGACACCCCAUGUUGCUGAACUCGUCCCAUCGCAGUGGAGGCUGGGUGCAGAGCUUGGGAUGCAAAGAUUUGUGGAAGAAGCUGCACCACUCCCUACCUAUCAUUUCAGAUGGUACUAAGAAGUUGGUGUUGCAGGAGGUACGAAGAAUGGUGGGGAAAUGUGAAGGCAGAGAGGAUAUCAUGAGGAGUUAUAGUGGUCAGUGCGCACUGAAUACAUGGAGCGGAUUCUUCAAGGAUCCCACCUCACACGCGGGCAUCGAUUUUGAUGAUAAAAUCCUUUCCUGGUACUUUGCGACCAAAAUAUUCUUCGGAUGGUCUUCUUGUGUGGAAGAGCAGGGUUAUGUUGAGGCAAUCACAGCAGUGUCAAAUUACAUGAUAUUUCUCCUUGUUGAACAUCCUUACAUGCUGCCUAGCCCUGUUUGCCCCGGAUUGUAUGCCAGUACUGAAGUAGCAUAUGUGGGGCUUGAUUUUUCUGAUAGGGAACGCAUCUGCAAAAAGUUGGGGCUGGGCAAAAGAAAAAUAAUGUGGAAUCUGGACACAAGAACGGACGGGGAAAAGCUGCAUAGAGUAAGGAGGAGGCUGGACAUAAUAAUGGAGGAUCUGAUCGUAAUAAGGAAGGGUCUGGACAGGGAGGAGGAUGAUCUGGGCAGAAGGUGGGAUUUGGACAAGAGUCUGGAGCUGAAGAUAAUGAGGAAGGAGUUGGACAAAAGAGGGCAGGAGCUUGACGAUUUAAUGUUACAGGUGGGUGGUAGAAGGGAGAAGCUAGAGGAGCCGGACAGAAGGUCUGAAGUUGAUGGAAGAAGGGAGGAGAAUCUGGACCUGGACCCAGAGGAGUGGAACAAAAUAAUGGAAAAACUGGAGGAGCUAGAGACAAGAAACAAGGAGCUGCAUUUCGGACCUUCACCUCCACCACCUUCCUUAGUCCGUGGAACUAAACUUGCUGUUUGGCUGCUAGAGGCGGAGGUGCGGGGCGAGGCAGAGGUGCGGCAGGUGCUACUUGGGGUGUGGGUGGAGAUGCUGUGCUAUGCGGCCCACCACUGCAAUAGGGAUUCCCAUGCCAGGCAGCUCAACAGCGGCGGGGAAUUCAUUACCAUCGUCUGGCUUCUGUCCACUGCCAUGUUCAACCGCCGCUACUGUGACGAAGAUUGGUUUAAGACAGGCGUGCGGAGGUUCUUCUGGCGACCAUUCCAUCUCGAGGAGGAUGACAUCGCCAGUUGGUUCCGGAGGAGGAGGAGGAGGAGGACAUGGACAGAAUGGUUGCACUUGAGGAGGACAUGA